ensembl:lncRNA
GCAGGUUUAGGUGUCGCCAGAGAGGCUGGGAGGAAACUAUAAACCUGGGCGAUGUCCUCUUUAUCAGCCAGCCCUUCUCCUGGGUCAACAGGGCAGAGCGCAAAGUUCACGCAGAUAGUAGCCUGAGAGGCAGGAAGCAUGGCGGUGGUAUGGGAGAGGAGGAAGUGGCGCUCUGAUGGCAAAAGAAGGGCCCCCACUCAAGGCCACUUAGCCCCAGACUCAGAGAGUGGACUCGGGGCCCAGCAGAGCCAGCUCCCCACCAGCCCGGCCAUUUUCAGGUGGUGCAGCGGGGACAGUCAGCCUCCCUGGGCUUCGGUUUCUCCACCUGUAAAAUGGCAGAAAUAAUCAGGCCUGCAGUCCUCGCCCUGUGUGAGGUGAAGAGAGCUGUGUAUAUAACGUACUUAGAAGGCCUAGUAUGGAUCAGAGCGCAUCUGUUGGUUGUGAGAAAACAUGAAAUCAUGCUAUUCGAGGAGGCCCGUGUCCGGCCUGGUCCAUACCUGGCACUGGUGAGCUCAGUCUCCUGUCCACCAGCCCCCAGCCUGGCAGAGAAGACCUUCCUGAUGGCAGAACGGGCCCUCUCUGGAAGUGAUGGGGAAACUGAGGUGCAGAGACCUUUGGGAACUUGCCUAAGAUUAUUAUUUGGCCAGUAAGCAGCAGAGCCUGAAUACGAACCGACUCAGUGUGGCUCCACUACCCAGAUUCUUCACGAUGUCACCUCAUUGCCCCAAGUCCUAAAAAGAUGGACAUGGAAACAGAUCAUUUCAGCACAAGGUGGAGAAUGCCAUGUGGGGAGGGCCUCACAGAGGUGGUAACUCAUUUCACGCGUAUAUUCAAUAAAUCUUUAGACUGGGGUGUAAUGAAGAGCAAAAAUAGACAUCCUACCUGUUUUGGGAAACUUCUAUUGGAGACACAGACAUUACUUAAAUGUUCACCCCCACCCCCACCCCCCCAAAAUGUUAGCUCCAAUCAACAGGUGCCUUUUGCUAUGAAAACUAUAAACACAGAGGUUUGUCAUAAGCAUGGAAAUGAGAGAAGGCUGCUUCCUGGAGGAAAUGAUGGUUGGGCUGAGGCAGAAAAGAUGAGUGAGAGUUAAUCAAAUCAAGAAAAGAAAGAAGAGCAUUCCAGGCAGAGGGAACAGCAUGUGCAAAGGCUCUGAGGCAGGGGGGCAUGGUGAGUAUGAGGGCUGCAAGUCCUGUCCCUGAACUCUGGCCAGCUGACCUUGGCCAGCCCUCCCAGGCAUGUAGCCCACCUGUCAGGACCCCACCACUCCAGUUUGGAGCCCUCCAGCCCACCCUUCCUGGAUCAUGCUGGAGGCUGGUAUCACCGGCUAGUAUGGGUGCCAGCCUCCCUCAGGUCCAGGUAACAGGCUGGCCUCGGGGUCUUCUAAAAAAGCCCCCAAACUGGAAGCUGGUCUAGGGACCCACAGGGACAGUCCUGUGGGAUGGGGAGUGGGACAAGUCCCCAGUGAGUCUUGGGAGAGUGAGCGAAUGAGCGCACCAUAUAAAUGACCUUUGUAAAAAGAAGCCUCAGGGCAGCUGGGGACACAAAUGGGCAAUGACCGCUCCUCCCCCAACCACGAGAACCUCCACUGGAGUCUUGGAGCACCCAACACACACCAAUUAACUCCCACUCCUUGACCGGGUGGGAAGGCCGUGAGUAAGCCCAUUUUACAGGGCAGGGAAAGGGAAAGGCAAGGCUGGAGAGGAACGCUGCUGUUUGGGGCGGCUUCUCAGCCGACCCUUUUGAGGAUGAGACUCUGAGGAGCCAUGUGGAGGUUUUCGCAGGAUCCACAGAGCCUCUGGGAUGAGCCAGCAAGACCCUAGCCUCCCAAUGGGUCUGGAGAGGGGGACAGGCAGACUUGAGGAAAGAGAGGAACCGCCUCUUCCCAGGUUCCCGUGCCUCUCUCUGCCCUAUUUACAGAAAACAAAGUGCCUUUGGCUGACUCUGGACCGGUUCCUCCAAAGCAAUUAGAGCAACACUGUCAAUGCUCCCGGGAGGGCACCCUCCUCCCUCCUCCUGCCACCCUCCCGGAGGCUGAAGGCCCAACUAGGGGCCCAUGCUGGCAUCUGCUGGGAUCGGCAUGCCUGGGGGCCCCCACCCCCACCCUGGGCAGCACUGAAAGGUGC